rnacentral:rRNA from 1 species
AACGAACGCUGGCGGCGUGCUUAACACAUGCAAGUCGAACGCGAAAGGGACUUCGGUCCUGAGUAAAGUGGCGCACGGGUGAGUAACACGUGGAUAAUCUACCCAGUACUCUGGGAUAACAUCUCGAAAGGGGUGCUAAUACCGGAUAAGCUCACGGGAACUUCGGUUCUUGCGGGAAAAGGUGGGGACCUUCGGGCCUACCGUCAUCGGAUGAGUCCGCGUACCAUUAGCUAGUUGGCAGGGUAAUGGCCUACCAAGGCAACGAUGGUUAGCUGGUCUGAGAGGAUGAUCAGCCACACUGGAACUGAGACACGGUCCAGACUCCUACGGGUGGCAG